UAGGAAUCCAGAUGAAUGCUUCUCGCAAUCAACAAGAGUCUCGAAAAUAGCUAAAACGUGGUCUAAUCCUAACACUAGGCGUACCCCUUGUAUAUAUAGGCAAGGAGUAGCCCAAACUUAAUAUAGACUCCGACAACUCAAACUAGAAUUCGACUCAGACUCAAACUAAAACUAGUAUUCAACUCAGACUCAAACAUGGACUCGCAGAUCCGGGCGCUCCUUAGACGUGUCGGACUCGUCGUAGGCUGUCCUAGUACGCCUCAUAUUCGUACUCGACUUGUGGUGCAACCUGAGCAUAUCAUCCUUGUCGUUGGCUGCCCCUUGCACACAAGACGUUCUUCUAACUUGUAUCCUUCAUCUUCACUUUUGGUGCGCCUGCCUCCCUCUCCUCCCUCGCGCAUAUCUUUAUGUUGGAUAUCAACACUUGAGGAUCCGUACCCUCAUCAUCCUCCCCUUCUUCAAAAAGUGUUGUCCUCAACGCUGAAAGGUCUUUUCUAGCGGGUGGAGUUAGAUCAGCAACAUCGCCACACUCCAUCUUCAAGCCUCGCCAGCCUGCCACACCACGUCCUCCCUCUCGGCUAGCUUGACCUGCCUUCAGCACCACUUCCGUUGUUAGCGCCACCAGCCUGAUUGAAACAUAAAGCAUCCUCUGAAUGCAAUGAAGCACACCGCGCAUAUCACCCCGAACAAACAGGACAAAUUCCUGUAUCGCUAAGAGUCCAAAUAAGCUGAGUACACCCGUAUGUGCAAUCUGUUGGAAAGCAAUGUCUCUUUUUCCUUUUAAUCCUUUCCUUGUUGUCCUCGUGAAGCCAGAAACUUCCCGGAACUCCAAACUUGUCGGGGACACUUGCCGGGCGUUGCCGGAACUUGCCGGGACGUGCCGUGAAGUUGGAUCUGAAUUUCUUGGCUACACGUGCACACACAAAUCUCCUCUUGCCUUUUUUUUUCCUUUUUUUGUAGCAAUCUGAUACCAAGAUGAUAAGGGGUGGCCCGAUCUUCUCAGAGAGCAACGUGAAUAACUUAUAUGAUUCUACAAAUCUUCCGGCUGUUCACCCGUAGCCGCACGACGAACUUGCAAUCCAAUGGAAAUUCGCAACACCACACACUUGCGCAGUAGUCCGCCGACCACAAGCGGUUUCGCAAUCUUCCAAUUCCCAGCAGAAUGACAGAUUACGCUCGAAAUUUUAGUAGAUAACAAAAACCCUAUCGAAACGAAUAUGGUGUAUAGGAAUCCAGAUGAAUGCUUCUCGCAAUCAACAAGAGUCUCGAAAAUAGCUAAAACGUGGUCUAAUCCUAACACUAGGCGUACCCCUUGUAUAUAUAGGCGAGGAGUAGCCCAAACUCAAUACAAACUCCGACUCAAACUCAAACUAGAAUUCGACUCAGACUCAAACUAGAACUAGUAUUCGAUUCAGACUCAAACAUGGACUCGCAGAUCCGGGCGCUCCUUAGACGUGUCGGACUCGUCGUGGCUUUUCUAGUGCGCCUCAUAUUUGUACUCGACUUGUGGUGCAACCUGGGUAUAUCAUCCUUGUCGUUGGCUGCCCCUUGCACACAAGACAUUCUUCUAACUUGUAUCCUUCAUCUUCACUUUUGGUGCGCCUGCCUCCCUCUCCUCUUUCGCGCAUAUCUUUAUGUUGGAUAUCAACACUUGAGGAUCCGUACCAUCAUCACAAGUUUAGGCAUCCUAAUUAAUUAGUUUGGUCAACAUUUCAUCUUUCUUUUGAAUAAUGUUCCAACACCGUGAUUCAAAUUGCCAU
rnacentral:lncRNA from 1 species